rnacentral:rRNA from 2 species
UUAAAUUGAAGAGUUUGAUCAUGGCUCAGAUUGAACGCUGGCGGCAGGCUUAACACAUGCAAGUCGAACGGUAACAGGAAGCAGCU